rnacentral:tRNA from 1 species
GUCUCUGUAGCUCAGUCUGGUCAGAGUACGAGUUUCAUAAGCUCGGGGUCGGGUGUUCAAAUCACCCCGGAGACA